AUGGUUCCUCAGAAAGAAGAAAAAAGAUCAAUGCAGCAAAAAAAUCACGGCGUUGUCGUCGUAGCCGCCCCAGCACCAUCCUUGCCGAUUGCAACAAGUCAAAAUGCUGGUUCCAGCAAAAAAUCUGUGCAGCAAAAAUCACGGCACCCGCGGCCAUGGUCGCCCGACAUUGUCCCCUCCUGUUGCAGCAAAUCGAGAAAAUGGUUCCAGCAAAAUUCGAAAGUAGUUUCAGCAAAAAUUAAAAAAAGAACAACUUACCACGACGGCCACCGUUGUCGCCGUCCACCACCAUCCUCACCGUUGAAGCAAAUCCCGGCGCUGGUUGAAGCAAAUCCCCAUGCCGGUUCCAACAUCCUCCACCACAGUUGCCACCGUGGUUUGCAGCACCCGUCGGCGUGGUCACCGUGCCCAUGGUGGGCAGCGCCAUGCUCGGCCGGUUGCAGCAUCGCUGGAUGCCCCCGUCUCCAGCAUCCGCUCCGCCACGCCGUCCCAAGGCCGCCGCCAUGCAGUGGUUGGCAGCCCCGCUCCCCGUCGAAGCCAGGAGCAUGGAGAAGGUGCAGGCCAUGUCCUCCCUGA
rnacentral:rRNA from 1 species